rnacentral:sRNA from 1 species
GCCAGGUGUGGUGGCACAUACCUAUAAUCCCAGCAUUUGGGAAGCUGAGGCAAGAGGAUCACAAGUUUGAGACUAGCCUAGGCAUUUUAGUGAGACUCUGCCUCAA